rnacentral:rRNA from 1 species
ACGCUGGCGGCGUGCUCACACAUGCAAGUCGAACGAGGUCCAUCCUUCGGGAGAAGACCUAGUGGCGAACGGGUGCGUAACACGUGAGCAACCUGCCCCGAAGACCGGGAUAACAGCGGGAAACCGCUGCUAAUACCGGAUGUCCCCAUCGGACCACAUGGCCUGAUGAGGAAAUGGAUUCCGCUUCGGGAUGGGCUCGCGGCCUAUCAGCUUGUUGGUGGGGUAACGGCCCACCAAGGCUACGACGGGUAGCUGGUCUGAGAGGACGAUCAGCCACACUGGGACUGAGACACGGCCCAGACUCCUACGGGAGGCAGCAGUGGGGAAUCUUGCGCAAUGGGCGAAAGCCUGACGCAGCAACGCCGCGUGAGGGAUGACGGCCUUCGGGUUGUAAACCUCUUUCGAGCAGGGACGAUUAUGACGGUACCUGCAGAAGAAGCUCCGGCCAACUACGUGCCAGCAGCCGCGGUAAUACGUAUGGAGCGAGCGUUGUCCGGAUUCAUUGGGCGU